rnacentral:rRNA from 1 species
UACGAAGGGGGCUAGCGUUGCUCGGAAUUACUGGGCGUAAAGGGCGCGUAGGCGGCCAACUAAGUCGGACGUGAAAUCCCCAGGCUCAACCUGGGAACUGCGUCCGAUACUGGAUGGCUCGAAUCCGGGAGAGGGAUGUGGAAUUCCAGGUGUAGCGGUGAAAUGCGUAGAUAUCGGGAGGAACACCAGUAGCGAAGGCGGCUCGCUGGGCCACACCUGACGCUGAGACGCGAAAGCUAGGGGAGCGAACAGG